rnacentral:rRNA from 1 species
UACGUAGGGGGCUAGCGUUGUCCGGAUUUAUUGGGCGUAAAGAGCGUGUAGGCGGCCUGGUAGGUCUGCUGUGAAAACUCGGGGCUCAACCCCGAGACGCCAUCCGAUACUGCUGUGGCUUGAGUCUGGUAGGGGAACACGGAAUUCCUGGUGUAGCGGUGAAAUGCGCAGAUAUCGGGAGGAACACCAAUGGCGAAGGCAGCUCGCUGGGACGGUACUGACGCUGAGACGCGAAAGCGUGGGGAGCAAACAGG